rnacentral:rRNA from 1 species
CGCGUAGGCGGAAUGAUAAGUUAGUGGUGAAAGCCCCCGGCUCAACCGGGGAACUGCCAUUAAUACUGUCAUUCUUGAGUAUAGUUGAAGUGGGCGGAAUGUAUCAUGUAGCGGUGAAAUGCUUAGAUAUGAUACAGAACACCGAUAGCGUAGGCAGCUUGCUAAACUAUAACUGACGCUCAGGCACGAAAGCGUGGGGAGCAAACAGGAUUAGAUACCCUGGUAGUCC